AGUGUAGGUGGUUGUCCAAGUUGGAUGUGAAAGCCUUGAGCUCAACUCAAGAAAUGCAUUCAGGACUGGAUGACUAGAGGACCGGAGAGGAUAGUGGAAUUCCCAGUGUAGUGGUGAAAUACGUAGAGAUUGGGAAGAACACCAGUGGCGAAGGCGGCUAUCUGGACGGUUUCUGACACUAAGACUCGAAAGCGUGGGAGCAAACA
rnacentral:rRNA from 1 species